CCUGGCUAAGUGGUGUAGAUACUUUUAGGCAGGGAGACCUUCUUGAUCUUUCUCAAAUAUUCUCUGCCUACUCCAACGUAUUCUCAGGCUUCCACACCACAUUUCUGAUAGGGUCUACGUUGUCAACAGCUGCAUCAUCAGGAGGCCAAGGGACCAAAGAAAAAUGAAAAAGAAGGAGGAAACAUGGCUGGGGCAUGAUUCUUCUGCGGAGUUAAAGUUCAGCUGUAGGCCCAGCUCAUCGGACACUUGCAGAAUCUAUCAAAAAUGUACUG